rnacentral:lncRNA from 1 species
AGCUGAGCACCUUCCAACGAUCACCGCGGCCUGCCGUGAACACUGAGAAACGAUGUGGUGUAGGUUUGUGUUGGCCCUCUUUGCAUUCUUCACAGGCUUCACUGCAGUCAGGAGCACUAUCCCGGUGCACGGUGGCGGCUACUUCCCAGAGACGGGAAUAAAGAGAGUCUCCAGCCACAGCUUCUGGGCCCACCAUGGGGGUGGCGGAGGAUUCAUCAGUCCAGGCAUCAUUGGGGGAGGAGCGGCUGGCGGA